rnacentral:tRNA from 1 species
GCGGACGUGGCGGAAUUGGUAGACGCGCUAGAUUUAGGUUCUAGUAAGAAAUCUUGUGAGGGUUCGAGUCCCUCCGUCCGUA